rnacentral:rRNA from 1 species
UGGAAGGUUGGGUCUGGUGAAAAAGUUAGGUUUUGGGAAGACACCUGGUUUGGUACCUCCCCCUUAGCAGUGCAAUUCUGGCCUAUCUACUCUAUUUGUAAUGAACAAACCAAAAGUGUCAGGGAAGUAUGGGAUGGUAUGCAACUUAGGCUUACUUUUAGAAGGAAUUUUGAUGACAAACUCAUGGAACAGUGGUAUCAGUUAGUGGAGAUAACUAGUAGCGUGACCCUUACCAAUGGAACUGAUGCCCUUGUCUGGCAGCUAGAAAACAGGGGAGUUUACUCCACUAGCUUACUCUACCAUGUGAUUAAUUUUAGGGGGGGUGCAACCAGUCUUCAUACCCUCGGUGUGGAAGCUAAAAAUUCCACCAAAAAUUCAUGUCUUCCUGUGGCUCCUUGCCAACAACAAACUAAUGACCAGGGAUAA